CCGACGGGUGAGUAACACGUAUGCAAUCCACCUGUAACAGGGGGAUAACCCGGAGAAAUCCGGACUAAUACCCCAUAAUAUGGGCGCUCCGCAUGGAGAGCCCAUUACAGAGAGCAAUUUUGGUUACAGACGAGCAUGCGCUCCAUUAGCCAGUUGGCGGGGUAACGGCCCACCAAAGCGACGAUGGAUAGGGGUUCUGAGAGGAAGGUCCCCCACAUUGGAACUGAGACACGGUCCAA
rnacentral:rRNA from 1 species